GAGUUUGAUCCUGACUCAGAACGAACGCUGGCGGCGUGCCUAACACAUGCAAGUCCAACGUGAAAGGGGAGCAAUCCCCCGGUAGGGUGGCAAACGGGUGAGUAAUACAUGGGUGAUCUACCUUAGGGAUGGGGAUAUCCUUCCGAAAGGAGGGGCAAUACCGAAUAUUGUCCGGAGCCGUGAAGGGUUCCGGGGAAAGGGAGGCCUCUGAUACAAGCUUUCGCCUUAAGAUGAGCCCAUGGCCCAUCAGCUAGUUGGUAGGGUAAAGGCCUACCAAGGCUACGACGGGUCGCUGGUCUGAGAGGACGACCAGCCACACUGGCACUGAGAUACGGGCCAGACUCCUACGGGAGGCAGCAGUGGGGAAUAUUGCGCAAUGGGGGAAACCCUGACGCAGCAACGCCGCGUGUGGGAAGAAGGCCUUCGGGUCGUAAACCACUUUUGCACGGGACGAAAAAGGGAUAUCGAACAAAUAUCCCCGAUGACGGUACCGUGAGAAUAAGCCACGGCUAACUCUGUGCCAGCAGCCGCGGUAAGACAGAGGUGGCAAGCGUUGUUCGGAAUUACUGGGCGUAAAGAGUCUGUAGGUGGUUUGUCAAGUCUUUGGUGAAAGGCCGUAGCUUAACUAUGGGAAUGCCAAAGAGACUGGCAGGCUGGAGGCUGGGAGAGGGAAGCGGAAUUUCUGGUGUAGCGGUGAAAUGCGUAGAUAUCAGAAGGAAGGCCGGUGGCGAAGGCGGCUUCCUGGAACAGUCCUGACACUG
rnacentral:rRNA from 1 species